rnacentral:pre_miRNA from 1 species
CAGGACUUAGCUCAUUAGUGAGCAUGGGAACCAAUCACAGAUUGUUCACAGUGGCUAAGUUCAGU